rfam:Triticum urartu cultivar G1812 contig771032, whole genome shotgun sequence.
UACAUACUCCCUCCGUUCAAAAAUACUUGUCCGAGGAAUGGAUAUAUCUAGAUGUAUUUUAGUUCUAGAUACAUAUCCAUUUCCACGACAAGUAUUUUCGGACAGAGGGAGUACAUG